GCCCUUCCAGGUGAAACCUAGUACACAAACUUAUUCACACACAGACAUUCAGGGUAAAUUAACUAAAGCUGAAGUCAAAACUAUAAUAAAGAUGCAGACAAAGAGUACAAGGCAGGAACACUGGGAUAUAAAUGACUCAGGAAGACAUCUGUAUACAAUCCAAAUGGUAAAUGGUCAUAACCGCCUCAGAAUAGCACAUACAGAACUAAACAAGACACUGUGUUUAUAGGGAAGCACACACAUGACUUAUACUCACAUAGUAAUCAGUGUGAAACAUGUGCAGCAUGUAAUAACAGAAUGUCAAGAUUAUCAAUACAAAAGACAAAUAUUAAGAGAAGUAUUUAUUAGAUAUAAUCUUACAUUUACUCUGGGAAAUAUACUAGAGUCAACAUGUGGAGGCUACAAUAAUUCCCCUUUAUUUAUUUAAGCAGCAAUGUUUUACCUUGGUUUUAUAGUGUGGUUUGUUUUCCCCGUGUUUCUCUCCAUGUCAGACUCCUGCUCCGCACUCCAGUCCAGCAGGUGGCGGUAAAGCGCAUUUAAGUUUGACAACCGCCAAAACACUGAAGAAGAAGUUGACAAACCGAAUGCGUCAAACGAGUUCACAUCGUGUUCCUGCUGCACAAGAGCGUCUGUACUUCUGCAUGUGAUGGUCAGCGGCUGAUUGUUUCCUGAAAGCUCUGCUAAUGUCUGCAUUGGUGUUUUAGCUGCAGUAUGGCAGAGGAGCGAGUAAAGGACUCUCUCUCAGAGAAACACAGGAGUGAUGGACAGUCCUGUCUUGUCACGGUGCUGCCGUAGCCUUAUUGGCUGUUGACAAUGCAUAGAGGCAAUAGUGGACGAGGGCCAAGCCUGUAUAAAAUGCAGGUCUGCAGUGUCAGGAGAUUCUAUUGUGGUUGUGGCUGGCUUGUCUGAGGUCCUAAGUGUCAUUAAGGCCUUAGACGAACAGUACAACUCAUGUUGAAGCUGUCAACUGAACCUAUAAGCUGAUUUCUGGGUCUGGCAAGAGCACAUUUGAUUAGAAGGAAUCAUUUAAUUGGGUUUGGCCAUUUGCAUUUUUUUAAUGCUUUACCUAUUAAAAGCUUGACUCUUCUGUUGUGGCAUUUUGUUCUAGAUGGGAACUUUUCAUUUUGUCAAUCUUCUAGUCUGAUAUGGCUAGGAUCUGUAGUCUUCUUUCAGUGUAAUCAAGGAACUUUGCUGCUGCUCCAUGAUUGUAACAGGUGUAAUAUUACGCAAUGCUGUUACCUAGCUGGGAACAAUUUUCAAAUGCUUGCGUUUCUUUAGCUACAGCCAUGGUAUGGCAGCAAAAUACUUUCAAAAUUAAACUGGAAUGUGUACAGAACCGAGCCAUAUCUGCCUGAAAACAACAAUUUAAUUUUCUGUUGGUCUUACUACAGAAUGUGAUGACAAAUGUCAAAAUUUAAAUAGGAAAGUCAGAACUUUUUUUUUUAUUAGCAAGAUGCUAUUGGUCUAAUCUAAUUCAAUGAUCUAUGCUAAGCUAAAGCCAACUCCCCCAACCCCCUCAUUUCAAAUGUAUGUAUUAGUUUGUAUGCAUGUUUAUAUGCAGUUUACACAAUACAGUACGUUAGUGUUAUUACCACCUUUUUCAUACAGUUUGUGAUUUAAAGACAUUCUGUUGGCAUGUUUGAGAAUAAAAAAACUUUCAUUGAAUUUGUCA